UUGUAGUGAGCAGGGGCUUGAACUCUAAAAAAGAAAAUGAGCAAAGUUUAUAUGAAGAGAGUGAUUUCAGGCACAUGGCAACUCACUAAGUGCUAAAGAUGGUCAUAGCCAGUGGUCAGAGAUGAUCACUGUACUGCUUGGGGAGUUAGAAAGGGCUCUAACAGUUGGUGUAGUUUCCUGGCUGAAAACUGGAUCAAAAAGAUGGACAACUGCUGGCUGGCAAGAUGGCCAAAUAGAAAAAUCUCUGGUCUGCAGUUCCCAGUGAGAUCAACACAGAAGGCAGCUUCCGCUGGUGAUACCCAGACAAACAGGGUCUGGAGUGGACCUCCAGCAAACUCCAGCAGACCUGCAGCAGAGGGGCCUGGCUGUUAGAAAUACAACUAACCAACAGAAAGGAAUAGCACAUCCACACAGAGUCCCCAUCUGAAGGUCACCAAUAUCAAAGACCAAAGGUAGAUAAAUACAAGAAGAUGGGGAGAAACCAGUGCAAAAAGGCUGAAAAUUUCAAAAACAAGAGUGCCUCUUCUCCUCCAAAGGAUCACAACUUUUCACCAGCAAGAGAACAAAACUGGACGGAAAAUGAGUUUGACAAAUUGACAGAAGUAGGCUCCAGAAGGUGGGUAAUAACAAACUCCUCCAGGCUAAGGAGUAUGUUCUAACCCAAUGCAAGGAAGCUAAGAAACUUGAUAAAAGGUUACAGGAACUACUAACUAGAUUAACCAGUUUAGGGAAGAAUAUAAAUGACCUGAUGGAGCUGAAAAAACAGCACAGGAACUUCAUGAAGCAUAUAAAAGUGCCAAUAGCCAAAUAGAUAAAGCAGAAGAAAAGAUAUGGGAGAUUGAAGAUCAACUCAAUGAAAUAAAGCAAGAAGACAAGAUUAGAGAAAAAAGAGUAACAAGAAAUGAACAAAGCCUCCAAGAAAUAUGGGGCUAUGUGAAAAGACCAAAUCCAUAUUGGAUUGGUGUACCUGAAAGUGAUGGGGAGAAUGGAACCAAGUUUGAAGACACUCUUCAGGAUAUCAUCCAAGAGAACUUCCUCAACCUAGCAAGGCGGGCCCAUAUUCAUCCCUUUACCACAAUGGUAGAGGGAUCAAUGGAACAAGAAGGGCUAACUAUCCUAAACAUAUAUGCAGAAAUACAGAAGCACUCAGAUUCAUAAAGCAAGUUCUUACUGACUUACAAAGAGACUUAGACUCCCACACAAUAAUAGUGGGAGACUUUUAUACCCCACUGUCAAUACUAGACAGAUAAAUGAGACAUAAAAUUAACAAGAAUAUUCAAAACUUGAACUCAGCUCUGGACCAAGUGGACCUAAUAGACAUCUACAGAAGUCUCCACCCCAGAUCAACAGAAUAUACAUUCUUCUAAGCACCACAUCGCAUUUAUUCUAAAAUUGACCACAUAAUUGGAAGUAAAACACUCCUCAGCAAAUGCAAAAGAAUGGAAAUCAUAACAGUCUUUCAGACCACAGUGCAACCAAAUUACAACUAAUUACAACUCAGGAUUAAGAAACUCACUCAAAACUGGACAACAACAUGGAAACUGAAAAACCGGUUCCUGCGUGACUACUGGGUAAAUAUUAAAAUUAAUGCAGAAAUAAAAAUGUUCUUAAACCAGUGAGAACAAAGAGACAAGGUACCAAAAUCUCUGGGACAUAUUUAAAGGAGUGUAAAGAGGGGAAUUGUUAGAACUAAAUGUCCACAAGCAAAAGCAGGAAAGAUCUAAAAUCGACACCCUAACAUCAAAAUUAAAAGAACUACUGAAGCCAGAGUAAACAAAUUCAAAAGCAAGCAGAAAACAAUAAAAAACUAAGAUCAGAGCAGAACUGAGGGAGAUGGACACAUGAAAAACCAUUCAAUAAAUCAAUGAAUCCAGGACCUGGUUUUCUGAAAAGGUGAAAAACCAUUCAAUAAAUCAAUGAAUCCAGGACCUGGUUUUCUGAAAAGGUAGAGAAGAAUCAAAAAGAUGCAAUAAAAUUGAUAGAAUGGAUAUCACCAGUGAUCUCACAGAAAUACAAACCACCAUCAGAGAAUACUAUAAACCCCCUACACAAAUAAACUAGAAAAUCUAGAAGAAAUUGAUAAAUUCCCAGAAAUACACACCCUCCCAAGUCUAAACCAGGAAGACAUCAAAUCACUGAAUAGACCAAUAAGAAGUUCUGAAAAUGAGGAAGUAAUUAAUAGCCUACCAACCAAAAAAAGUCCAAGAACAGACAGAUUCACAGCAGAAUUCUAGAUGAGGUAUAAAGAGGAGCUGGUACCAUAUCUUCUAAAACCAUUCCAAACAAUAGAAAAAGAAGGAAUACUCCCUAACUCAUUUUAUAAGGCCAGCAACAUCCUGAUAUCAAUAUCUGGAAGAGACACAACAAGAAAAGAAAAUUUCAGGCUAAUAUCCCUGAUGAACAUCAAUGUGAAAAUCCACAGCGAAAUACUGACAAAACAAAUCCAGCAGCACAUCAAAAAUCUUAUCCACCAGUAUCAAGUUGGCUCCAUCCCUGGGAUGUAAAGCUGGUUCAACAUAGGCAAAUCGAUAAAUGUAAUCCAUCACAUAAACAGAACCAAUGAAAAAAACCACUUGAUAUCUUAAUAGAUGCAGAAAAGGCCUUCAACCAAAUUCAACAGCCUUCAUGCUAAAAAUUCUCAAUAAACUAGGUAUUGAUGGAACAUACUUCAAAAUAGUAAGAGCUAUUUAUGACAAACUCACAGCCAAUAUCAUACUGAAUGGGAAAAAACUGGAAGCAUUUCCUUUAAAAACUGUCACAAGACAAGAAUGCCCUGUCUCACCACUCCUAUUCAACAUAGUAUUGGAAGUUUUGGCCAGGGCAAUCAGGCAAGAGAAAGAAAUAAAGGGUUUUCAAAUAGGAAGAGAGGAAGUCAAAUUGUCUCUGUUGCAGAUAACAUGAUUGUACAUUUAGAAAACCCCAUUGUCUCAGCCCAAAAUCUCCUUAAGCUGAUAAGCAACUUCAGCAAAGUCUCAGGAUACAAAAUCAAUGUGCAAAAAUCACAAGCAUUCCUAUAUACCAAUAAUAGAUAAACAGAGAGCAAAACCAUGAGUUAACUCCCAUUCACAAUUGCUACUAAGAGAAUAAAAUACCUAGAAAUCCAACUUACAAGGAAUGUGAUGGACCUCUUCAAGGAGAACUACAAACCACUGCUCAAGGAAAUAAAAAGGGACACAACCAAAUGAAAGAACAUUCCAUGCUCAUGGAUAGAAAGAAUCAAUAUAGUAAAAAUGGCCUUACUGCCCAAAGUAACUUAUAGAUUCAAUGCUAUCCCCAUUGAGCUACCAUUGACUUUCUUCACAGAUUUGGAAGAAAUACAUUAAACUUCAUAUGGAAUGAAAAAACAGCUCCCAUAGCCAAGACAAUUCUAAGCAAAAAGAACAAAGCUGGAGGCAUCACACUACCUGACUUCACACUGCACUACAAGGCUACAAUAACCAAAACAGCAUGGUACUGGUACCAAAACAGAUAUAUAGACCAAGGGAACAGAAGAGAGGCCUCAGAAAUACCACCACACAUCUACAACCAUCUGAUCUUUGACAAACCUGAGAAAAACAACAAUGGGGAAAGAAUUUCCUAUUUAAUAAACAGUGUUGGGAAAACUGGCUAGCCAUAUGCAGAAAACUGAAACUGGACCCCUUCCUUACACUUUAUACAAAAAUUAACUCAAGAUGGAUUAAAGACUUAAACGUAAGACCUAAAACCAUAAAAAUCCUAGAAGAAAACCUAGGCAAUACCAUUCAGGACAUAAGCAUGGUCAAAGACUUACAUCUAAAACACCAAAAGGUAUGGGAACAAAAGCCAAAAUUGACAAACGGGAUCUAAUUAAAUGAAAAAGCUUCUACACAGCAAAAGAAACUAUCAUCAGAGUGAACAGGCAACCUAUAGAAUGGGAGAACGUUUUUGCAAUCCAUCCAUCUGACAAAAGGGCUAAUAUCCAGAAUAUACAAAGAACUUAAACAAAUUUACAAGAAAAAUCAAACUAUGCCAUCAAAUAGUGGGUGAAGGAUAUGAACAGACACUUCUCAAAAGAAGACAUUUAUGCAACAAACAAAGGUAUGAAAAAAAGCUCAUCAUCACUGGUCAUUAGGGAAAUGCAAAUGAAAACCACAAUGAGAUACCAUCUUACACCAGUUGGAAUGGUGAUCAUUAAAAAGCCAGAAAAUAACAGAUGCUGGAGAAGAUGUGGAGAAAUAGGAAUGCUUUUACACUGUUGGUGGGAGUGUCAAUUAGUUCAGCCAUUGUGGAAGACAGUGUGGCAAUUCCUCAAGGAUCUAGAUCCAGAAAUACAUUUGACCCAGCAAUCCAAAUACUGGGUAUAUUCCCAAAGGAUUAUAAAUCAUUCUACUAUAAAGACACAUGCACACGUAUGCUGACUGUGGCACUAGUCACAAUAGCAAAGACUUGGAACCAACCCAAAUACCCAUCAAUGAUAGACUGUAUAAAGAAAAUGUGGCACAUAUGCACCAUGGAAUACUAUGCAGCCAUAAAAAAGGAUGAGUUCAUGUCCUUUGCAGGGACAUGGAUGAAACUGGAAACCAUAAUUCUCAGCAAACUAAAACAAGAGCAGAAAACCAAACACCACAUUUUCUCACUUAUAAAUGGGAGUUGAACAAUGAAAACACAUGGACACAGGGAGGGGAACAUCUGUCACUGGGACCUGUCAGGGUGUGGGGGGCUAGGGGAGGGAUAGAAUUAGAAAUAACUAAUGUAGGUGAUGGGUUGAUGGGUGCAGCAAACCACCAUGGCAUGUGUAUACCUAUGUAACGAAACUGCACAUUCUGCACAUGUACCCCAGAACUUAAAGUAUAAUUUUAAAAAAUAAUUAUUUAAUAAUUACUUAAUUGAUCACUUAAUUUAAUCCUUAUUAACAGUCUGUUACCACUAUUCUUUCAUUUUACUGCAUAAUCACUUUAUUGGUCACUUAAUUUAAUCCUUAUUAAGUCUAUGACCACUAUUGUCCCAUUUUACUGCAUAACAGUCUACUAAAAGUAGUAUUUUUAAAAAUUAACCAUCAGAUAAUUAUGUCCUGAUUGUAUUGCAUUAUCUAUAUUAAAGUCUUUCUCUGGGAAUUUCCUCAAGUAUGAUCUUCAUACCUUUGAUACCUUUUCUCUUUUAAUAACACCUCAUCUAAAUUUUAGACUCACAUACCUAAUAAAACAGCUCAUAGUUUUUCCUUCCCUACAUUGCUCGCUCCUAUUUCUUGAGCUGUCAUUGCUCUUAAAGCCUAUACCACACAGAUACAGUCUCUGCUGUUUUUUAACUCUUUCAUUUAUGCAAGUUCUGGAAUUAUGGGCUGAAUAAAUUCAUGUUUUAAAAAAAAAGACGGCCAAUUAUGAGUGACUUGGAAAUAUCCAAACACCCUUGGUUUAAUGGAGAAGAAGAAAUUCACAGGAUUAGGGAGAUUAAAAUACUAGAGUAGAUUUGUCUUUUAAGGCUUAGUCAUCAACACUGGAAGAGUCUAGAAAGUGUAACUUUCACCAGUGCUUUGGGAAAUAGAUUUGUGAGGGGAUCCCCAGCAUCCUUGAAGAGCUCCAUGACUGCUUUUCUCUGUAGGACAGAUCUUACGGUGAAACCUGCAAUCACUCAACUGGAAAACUUAAAUGCAAUAGGUAUAAUUGGAUCUUGAGAUAGCAGGGGUGAAGUUGUGGCACACAAUCAUUAAAAGAAAGGUGAGUAUAAUUACUGUAAUGGACAGCUGUGUAAAAGCCCCAAUCAGAAUAAUCUGACUCACGCAGAACUAUGGUGUUGGCUAGUUAAUUGUUGUGUUUCCAUAAGUGAAAUAGAUGCGAAAGCUACUAAACCUUUACUUGAUCUGUAUAACCAUAACAUAUCCAGGUCAAAUAAACAAAAGUCUAAUUUGAAUCAUAAAAGCAAAAAAAAAAAAAAACACCACAACACUCAAUUAAUUUUCAGGCUUCAUCCAGUUUACAAACCCAGAAACCCUUGAAUGAAGGGGAGGCUCUCUAGUCAGAUUAAGGGCUAUGGAGGUCAGGUGAUCAAUAAAGUCUUUGCUGAGGUCUAUCUUGCGGUGAGUCCAGUAGGUCCCUGAACCCAUUCUGUGGUUAUUUCUCUAGCUCCAGAAUGCAUCAUUAGAAUAGAAAUAAUUAGCAGCUAGAAGAAUCUCAACACUGGUUUUCUAACCAGAAGAGUGAAAGCUAUUAUAGUGAGAAAGGCCAAAUAGAAGCAAUUAGAGUUGUGUAUACCAAGGAAAAUAGUAAAUCAAAAGCAAUACUGCAUCUCUGGAAGGAUUGUAGACAUUAAUGCCACCAUCAAAGACUUGAAAGAUUCAAAGAUGUUGAUUCCUACCACAUUCCCCAUUCAACUCUUCUAUUUUACCUGUGCAGAAGAGAGAUGGGUCUUGGAAAAUUACAGUGGAAUAUCAUAAAAUUAAACAAGUGAUGAUUCCAAUGGAAUCUCCUCCACUAGAUGUGGAUUCACUGCUUGAGCAAAUUAACACAUCUCCUGGUACCUGCUAGGCAGUUAAUAAUCUGGCAAUUAACUCUCUAGCACUACAUCAUAAUUUAGUUUAAAGGGAUCUUGAUUGCUUUUCUCUUCCACAAGAUAUUUCACAGACCUAUUACAUUGAAGACAUUUGCUGAUUGGACUUAAUGAGCAAAAAGUAACAAAUACUUUACACUUAUUGCUAAGACAUUUGCAUUUCAGAAGGUAGAAAAUAAAUCCAACUAAAAUUCAGGAGGCUUCAACCUCUUUAAAAUUUCUAGGGGUUAUGUGGUGUGGGGCAUGCCAAGAUGUCCUUCCUAAGGCAAAUAAUAAGACGUUGCAUCUGAUUCCUCCUGCAACCAAGAAAGUGGCAAAUUGCCUAGUGGACCUAUGUAAUUGGUCCAAACUACCAAGGAGAAGGUAGACUACUGUACCCCAGUGGAGGUAAGACAGAGUAUUUAUGGAAUACAGAAGAUCUUCUAGGGAGUCACUUAAUAUUACCACAACCUAUGAUUAAGGGUCAAUGGAAAACUGCAAUGACCCAAUCCAGGCAGAACAACAAAUGACCCAAACCCUUCAGGAAUGAAGGUUUGGAUCACACCAGCAGGUAAGGAAUUACAAUCAGCUGAGGUGCUUGCUGCAAGCAAAGAGAAUAGAGAAUGGGUUGUGGAAAUAAGUUGUUCAAAAUACCAGCUAUGACCACAUGACCAGUUAAGGAGAAAAAGACCAUAAUUGUCAUGAGUAUUUCUUUUCUAUGUGUUAAAAUUAAGAUUAUAUAUGUAUAUGUAUAUUAUGUAUAAUAUACAUAUAUUAAGCAAAUAUCUUUGUUUCAUAUCCUCUCUUGUUCCUUUAUAAUGUAACAAAAGAUGUAUUGACUUUAUAUCAGUAUGUAAGCUUGUUUUUUUAUUGUUAUUCUACUUUAAGUUCUAGGGUACACGUGCACAACGUGCAGGUUUGUUACAUAUGUAUACAUGUGCUGUGUUGGUUUGCUGCAUCCAUUAACUUGUCAUUUACAUUAGAUAUUUCUCCUAAUGCUAUCCCUCCCCCAUGCCCCCACCCCAUGACAGGCCCUGGUGUGUGAUGUUCCCCGCCCUGUGUCCAAGUGUUCUCAUUGUUCAAUUCCCACCUAUGAGUGAGAACAUGCGGUGUUUGGUUUUCUGUCCCUGUGAUAGUUUGCUCAGAAUGAUGGUUUCCAGCUUCAUCCCUGUUGCUACAAAGGACAUGAACUCAUCCUUUUUUAUGGCUGCAUAGUAUUCCAUGGUGUAUAUGUGCCACAUUUUCGUAAGCACUCAUCUAAUAAUUUUGCAUUCUCUUUAACCUGCUUAAUAGGGCAAGUGGGGUGUUUUCUGCUCAACUGACAUAUCUGACCUGUAUGAUAAUAGAAUUUCUCAUUAUAAGU